GGGGUUGUGGCUCAGCGGUAGAGCGCUCACCUACCACGUGCAAGGCCCUGGGUUUGAUUCUCAGCACCACA
rnacentral:tRNA from 1 species